GGGGCCGCUUGUCGGGAGUUACCUUUCGUCAGUAACAGUAAAGACCGAGCAAUGUUGAGAGAGUUGAGAAACGGACAAUUAAAGAAAAGUUUCCUAAAAAUCAUGUCAGUACCGAAAUGCUGACUCCUAAGUAUAUUGAACAUUUUAAAACUAUGUAAAUAAUUGCAACAUGUCGUUACAAAUACAAUUACAAGGUGCAACACAAAUUCCAG
rnacentral:lncRNA from 1 species